ACAAGUCAUCGCCCUGGUAACAAUGUCAAUAUUUUAUGAUUUGGAGCAUUCCAUAACAAGAAUACAGUAUUAGAUAUUGUGUCGCCAUGGCUACCAGACAGAAGACGAUCGACAAGGCCUACUGGAAGCACAGACUACCCCAAGGCUUCCAAUAUUAUAUGGAGAAAUUAGCUAGAACCUGUAUUCGUGUUCAGCCAGCAGAUGUUUAUCUUUUUGCCGCCCAAUUUCUAGAAGCAAAGAAAAUAGAGAGACAAGACGAAUUAUUACAAUUGCCAGAAGUGACUUAUUUGCGUAAGUUGGUCGCCAAAAAGGGCGUGAAAUCACGUUCACAUCAACAUAUGGGUAAACGUCAAGCUUUCA